rnacentral:sRNA from 1 species
CCGUUUCGAUUUGCUGCGGGCAAAUAAAAUGGAUAUGGGCAUCGAUCCCCCCUGCUGUCACAAUUUUCCCUUCUGCCGCGAUCACUUCUGUCGAUGCGCCGAUCACGAUGUCCACGCCGUCCAUUAGGAGCGGGUUGCCCGCUUUGCCAAUUGCCGCAAUCAUCCCAUCUUUAAUGCCGAUGUCCGCUUUAUAGAUACCUGUAUAAUCAAGCACAAUCGCAUUGGUCAGCACAAGAUCAACGGAUUCAGCUCGUGUGGCAAGCGGGUGCUGCCCCAUCCCAUCCCGA